UGUUCAUUGAGAGGGGGUGACUGUGGUGAGACGCCUCCUCCUCUUGUUUUAUUUUGAUUUAACUUCCUGUUUUCCUUUGUUUUCCUGGUCUGGCUUGACUCUGUUCCAGAGCACCCUCCCCCUCCCCUGGUCGCUGAGGCUGAGUGAGACUCCUGACCUGCACUGCAUUUACAAUCAAGGCCCUUUAAGAAGCCAGCAGCCCUCAGUCUCAGCACCUGAGUAUUGUCUUCACUCCUGAGUGGUACAGACGUGUCUCCUGGCCUUCUUUUCGGAUAAGUGAUUGUGACUUUUUGCUCCUUGUGAAUUGUUGUAUGUUGUCUCACUCCCAUCUCCUCUGUUUUUCCACAGUGUCUCCAGCCCACACAACAGCCAGCCAGCAAACCAGACUUUCCUCGUG